UCUAGUACUUUUUUUGUGAUCCUUUAUCCCACUGUUAUAUACUUUUCAUUUUGAUUAAUCCUUGUAGUGCAGGGAAAGCUGUUUAAUUCUGUUGUGAUCACCUCUCCCAAAGAGGCAACAGGAUUUUCCUGAAAUGAGUGUAUUUGUUUGAGUGAGGGUGCUUUUCCAAACAACCUACUUUGUCUUCAUUAGAAAACUGCAGUGAUGGAUCUGCAGGGCUGUCACUUGUGGUGAGGGACUUCUAAGCCCAGACUAUGUUUGACUUCUGUUUCUGUUAGGUCUUUGCUAGACUGGGAAACUGUUAUCACAGUUUGGUUCCACGGAGGUGUGCAUGAACCUCGGCUUUGAUAAGCUAAUGAGACAGAGCUCUCUCACUGAAAUGCAUCAUCCUUUAAUCAGCCCUGUGACUCUGCUCCUGGCUGCUCCGAAUUUAAAGAGAGAGCCCUUAGGUACAGGAAGAUCCUCAGUGAGAACAAUUGCUUUGGAGGGCUGGAACUGUUGUAUGGUGCUGAGGAGGCCUCAGCAGGUGAUAAGAAAGGCAUGAGAACAGGCUGGAAGGAGAAUGAACUACUGAGGGGCCCAAGCUGAAAGAAAUAAAGACUUCCAGUACAUCACCCUGACAGUAAAGAACCAAGAAAAAGUGAAGUCUGAGCCUGGAUUUGGGUGAGUCCUGUGCCUGCUGGUCCUGAGGUUUCCUGGGAUGGGAUGAGCUGCAGGAGUGUGCAGUGCUGCAGGAACCAGGAGGCCUUUCCAUCCAGCAUCUUCUGGGUACCAAACGGGGCUGGGUUCGUGUUUUCUUCCCUCCUGACAGCUGGUGGGAGGCUGGUUCCUGAUAGGUUUCAAUACAGUGUUUGCAAACGUGUAUUUCUCUGAGUUUUACAUGUAAUUUGCCCAUAUUAUUACUAUAAUUUGGUUUUUAUUCCUCUGGAGGCUGCAGAAGUCUUCAGGAUACUCUUAAUAUGCAUGGUGGGAAAUGGGCUGUUUGCAAAUUAGUAACAAACUAUAAUAAUUACUUUGCUUUCCCCUUGAAAUGCUAAUCUGGAGCUUUGAUGACCACAAAAUUCCCAUGUAAAGCCACGCAGAUCCUCAGCUGCAUUUGUUGGAUCUGUUUAGAUCCCUGCCUGGUGUCUAAAAGAGGCAACAGUGCCUGUGAACAUCUCUGGCCACUUCCUCCCACACGCUGCUGGCUGUGGGCUCCUGUCUGCUGGGAUGUCUAUAUACAGCACAGCUGUAGGUGUCACUUUGUGUGGUUUGACCUGUGUCCAUAAGUUAAAGUUGCUAAGAAUGACCACAGUGAUAAUUUAAUAGGAAAUGCUGAGCUAGUGGUGAAUUUUCUAGAAAUAACUGCAAAGAAAAUAUUGAGCGUUUGAAAAUUCAUGGGAACAAACAUACACUUUGAGGACCUGAAGCCAUGAGAGGAAAACCAGUUUGUAAACUAGUGCUGAUCUUGAUCAGUGUGGUAGAAAUUCAUGUUUAAUCAUGAUAAAAACAUUUGGGGUAAUAUAAAAACUCUUGAUGUACAAAUCUUGGUGUGAUUCCGUCCUGCCCACUGUGAGCCUGAGCCUCUGCUUGACUCCUCUUCCUCGUGGGCUGCCCAAGUGCCAUCUCUGGAGGGCCUCAGCUCCAGCUUUGCCUCACAGCAUCCCCAGAGCUCUGAAAGCACAGUGCCAGUGCACACAGCUCAGUCCAGGGCACAUUUCUCAGCAGCCCUCAGCCCUUUUCAGGGCGGGGGAGGCAAUGUCAGCGAGAUGUUGUGCUGGUUUCUCCUGCAGCACGGAGGGAUGCUCCUUUUGUGAUCUCCUCUCCUGUCCCCAACUUUUACAGCUGCUGCCUGCAUUGUCUUCGCUUUCCCCUAAUCCCUUUGGAAAAUUUGAGUAGAUUCUCUUCUGACAGCCACUGCUGCUGCUGUUUCUCUAGUGGAAAGGCAUUUCAGUAUCCCUGUUGUUGUUUUUUGGGCUCUGCCACCUGGAUGGAACUGGUGCAAAAGGCAUAACCGGGAGGAGGGAGCAAAAGGAGAAUGCUGAUAAGGAAAGGCAGGAGAACGCUGAUAAGGAAAGGCAGGAGAACGCUGAUAAGGAAAUGCAGGUGUCCUCCUGCACCCUCCUGCUUUGCUGUGGGAGAGGCACUGCCCGCACAAACAUCGCUGCCCUGGCUCCGCGCUGAACAUCUGCUGGCAGGAGCGGUGCUGAGCGUGGGGAUGCUGCUGUGUGACCGGGACAAAGCAGCCCUGGGGGCGGGGAUGCUCCGGGAUCGCUUUCAGCCUCCCCACCCUCGCGGGAAAGCAAACAGGGCAAUAAAGGUCACACAAGAAAGUGAGGAGAUCAUCUUAAAGAGAGCCUCUGCUGCACAGGAUGGACUCGUGCGGUGCUGCUGAGCAUCCUGAAAAGCAAACCAAUAGCGUCAGGGUGGAGGAAUUCCCACUGCACCCCCUCCUCCAGCCCCUCACCUCUCCUCGAGAUCAAAAAGGCAGCAGCAGUGCAGCCUUCUGUGCAUGAGAACAGAGCUGUGCAGGGGAGCAGCCGCAAGGGAAAGCUGCGCUCUGAAGAUGCUUGAAAAAUAAACAAUGGCACAUCAGCGCAGUGUGAGGUGGAUACCUGGGUCUGGAGGAGGAGGAAAGGAGGAGCCAUGUGUGCUUGGGAGCCUGCCUUCCCUUCCUCUGAACGGCAAAGGCUUCAUUUCCACAUCAGACCCGGGCAGCAUUGCCAGGAAGGGCAGUUCGGGAUGCUGCAUGCAGUGCAGCGCUGCAGGGAUUGCAUUUGUCACACUGCCUUGUGUCCUCUGCAGGCUGAAACGCCCCAGCACAAACCAUCCUGCACUGUCCCCUGGCGAGCAGGACACUGGUGGGAUGUGCCAGCGGUGGUUUUUUACCUUCAGCACAUGAUGGAAAACACUGGGGAACUCGAGGCUUUUCUGUCCCCAGAUUCUGGGCAUUAGCCUGACCUCUCUCUGCACCUGACAAAACCUCUCCGUGGUUGGUUUUAGUGCAACGUGGGGGUGUUGAGGGGACCAAAGCAGUGAACAGCUCCUGACAGACACGCUGAUGCCAGGGGCUGGAAGGCUGUGUGCAGGGCUGUUUUUACCCUGUCUGUCUCAGUUUCCCAGGAAGCUGUUUUGCUGCACGUCUGCUGUUGCUGACCCACCGCAUGGGAAGCCUUGAGUAAUCCCACACUGCUCUGAGCAUGUUUGAGAAGUUUUGUAUGACAAGAUCGCCCAGUGUCCUGCCCUUUGCUCUGCCCCCUCUCGUGUUUGUCACAUCUAAUAAUGGACAGAAAUGUGGUGUGUGCCACUGAACACGGGGAAUUUGUUUGUAUUCCAUGUUUGCCACAGCCUUUUAAUUUGAGGAGGGAGCGUGGGAGCAGGGAAUGGCUAAGAGCACUUCUCCCUGGUAGUUCUGUGCUGCAGCCAGAGAGAGCUCUUAGGGAGUGAUGUGAACUUGAGCUGAGGUGCUGGGCUUUGCAGGGGCAGUGCUGUCUGCAGGGCAGUGCUAAUGCCUUGAAAACUCUGGUUCAGGGUGGCUGAGCCAGCUGUCUGUGCCCUCUUAUCUGGGCCAGGGUGUCGGACACUGCCUUUCCAACAGAGAUGUUGCCACAUUUUAUUUUGCAAGGGAGGUGCUGCAGGAAGAUCUCUCAGGGUGUCUCCAUUCCCCAGCCUCGGUGGGGGCUCACACACUCUGAGCUGUGCUUGUGCUGCUGCCAGGCUCUGCACUGCCCUGUCCCUGUCCCCAGUGCUGGUACAUCUUGGGCUUGUUCCCUGCGUGGAUCCCAUACAGUCAGGCAACAACAGUAAGGUGUAAAAGUGCAGGGGAAUCCCAACUUGUGAAAUCCUGGUGGUUUUUCCAUGGUUACAUAUUUGGUUGGUGAAUGCAUCUGACCCUAAUUUCUGUGCCCAUGCUCUCUGUUCCUGAUGUAGCAGAUGUUGUUCCAACAACCACCUCCCAUCUUCUCUCCCUCCUGUUUCAUUCCUUCCUUGUGUGUCCAAAACAUGGUGAGUGAAUAAAGACUCUGUUGUUAGGUUGAAGACUUCAA